ACUGGACGGAGUGGAAGGAAAGAAGCUUAGCUGGUGGGUUUAGACAGGAACUCUGUUCGGCUUGCUACCUGUCUCUACCAUCCUAUUCAAAGCCGAACAAUUUAUUCCAGGCUAUUGGAGAUACCCUAGACAACGUUCCUGCACGUCUUUAAACGCUGAAUGCAGUAGAUCAAAGAGAUUUUCAAGAUAGAAGAGCAAUGUGGAGUGAGAAUUUAUAUGGGGCAAGACAUUUCUGAAGACUCUAUGGAUCCUUCUUAGACAGACUCAUGCACAGAAUGUUUACUGAUUAAGAAGCUGAACUUCCCAGAUGAUUUCCUGUAACAGGGAUCUUCCUCUUACUGAUGAAGUUGCCCUGUCUUUCUUCCACAGCAUCAGCAUCUGUAAUACCUGCUUUUGAUUUGAGAACCACAGACCACCAAAGGGAAGAAGUCUUUCGCAAAACUGUUGGGAGGGAAGAUGCAGGAUGCUCAAUACCGAAGGGUUUAGAAUUGGAAGCAAUGAACUUAAUUCUCUCUGCAUGACUGUGUGACCUAAACUAAUUGCUUAUCUUUCUUGAAAUUCUUCCAUUAUAUAAUGGGAAAACACAAGAUGGCAUGCAUGAAAGAAUCGGGCUGAGGCAGUCAAUAGAACAUUUUCAAUCUAAAUGCUUUUAGGAAAUGCAUUAGAGUUUAGCAGAAGUUGAAGCAAGUAUCAAAAAGGAACACUUUGUAGCUUCAAGUAGCAAGUCCCAAAAGCCAGAAGAUGCCACUUUGGCUACACUGAAUCAUGAACCACAUGAUAAGAUGUAUGAGAACCUUGACACACUCAUUAGACACCAUUAUUCUGUACCUCUCAUCUUUACCCACCUAUUUGACAUGAGGCAACUGAGUUUUAUCAACAUUUGUUUUCAGCAGGAUAAUUUUUAAGUUAUUUCUUGUUGCUUCAUUCAGCUUAGCUAGCCAACUCAUUCAGUUAUUUCCUGAGCUUUCUACUGACACAUCCGUAGAUCCACUGUGAGGGAUCAUAAUUCUGUGCCUAGUAUGGAGGAAACUGACAUUUGAAUGAGCCAUGAAGACUAAAGUGUUAAGGAACUAGAUUACCUGAAGCAACCUAAGAAACAGCCUGUACUCAUUAGCUUUUGUCAAAGUGAAAUGAAUUAAGAGUCACUUGGAAGGAGGAAACAUUAAUUGAAAAGUUGCUUCAGUGAGUUGGCCUGUGGGCAUAUCUGUGGGGCAUUGUCUUGAUUAAUGACUGAUGUGGAAGGGGCCAGUCCGCUAUGACUGGUGCCACCCAUGGGCAGGUGGUCCUGAUUUGAGUGGGAAAGCUGGGACUAAGUGCUGGAGAGAUGAUCCGAGGUUAAGAGCAUUGGUGGCUCUUCCAGAAGACUCUGUUCAAUUCCCAGAACCCACAUACUGGCUCUCUGUUUCUAAAUACAGUUCCAGGGGAUCUGUUAUACUCUUUUGACCUCUAUGGGCAACAAUCAUUCCAUGGGGGUGCACAGACAUACAUGUAUGAGAAAUAGACAAAUACAUAAAAUAGAAAAAUAGUUUAGAAAGGGAGUGAAAGCCAGCUGAGUAUGAGCAGGAAAGCAAGGCAGUGUUCCUAUGUGGUCUCUGCUUCAGCUCCUCCUUGUCUGCAAUGAUGUCCUGUGACAUGGUAGCAACAGAAUCAGUCCUUUCUUCUCCCAAGUUGCUAUGGGUCAUGGUGCUUAUCACAGCAAUUGAUAGCAAACUAAGACAGGAGCUCUUCCCAUAUUCUCUGAAUUAAAAAAUCCUUAUGAAUUUGAUCCUUUUUUGAAGGGUAGCUCACCUCUGGCCCCUUUCAAUUCUAAACUUGUCUUGCUUUUUGGUGAAGAUACAAAGCCAAAGGUAAUCUAUUUAUUUUGUUAAAUGAGACCCUGGCUAUUAUGACUAAGGCUGCUAUGAACAUAGCUGAGCAAAUGUCCCUGUGGUACAGUGGGGCAUCUUUGGGGGUAUAUGCUUGGGAGUGGUAUAGAUGGGUCUUGAGGUGGAACUAUUUCUAGUGUUCUGAGAAACUAUCAAAUUGAUUUCCAACGUUGUUGUACAAGUUUGUAUUCCUACCAGCAAUGGAGGAGUA